rnacentral:pre_miRNA from 9 species
UCUCGAUAACGUAAAAGUUAACUCAAUUUUGUAUGGAUUCGGAACGUUUGCCUACGUUUGCCGCUAGGGGCGCUGUUCCAAUUUCAUACAGAUUUGAGUUAACUUUUACGAUAUGUC